UACGUAGGCGGAAAAUUAAGUCAGUAGUGAAAUCCUGCAGCUUAACUGUAGAACUGUUAUUGAUACUGGUUUUCUUGAAUUUAGUUGAGGUAGGCGGAACGUGUAAUGUAGCGGUGAAAUGCUUAGAUAUUACACAGAACACCGAUUGCGAAGGCAGCUUACUAAGCUAUGAUUGACGCUGAGGUACGAAAGCGUGGGGAGCGAACAGGAUUAGAUACCCUGGUAGUCC
rnacentral:rRNA from 1 species